ensembl:lncRNA
UAUUUCAGGCACUCCGGUUCACGUUGGCUAGCUCGGUCAUCUGGCGACAGGGGAGACAGGAAAAAAAAAAAAAAAAAAAAAAGGAAAAAAGACGAGUCCUAAAUCGAGACAGAAACCCUACGCUGCGUGCUUCGGAGGGCUGUUUUCUUGCAGGAGGGGGUGCUUCGCUUCCUGGGCUUUUGAGAGAUCCGGGGUGCGAGGUGGCGAGCGGGGGGACAGCGGGUGGGAAGCUGCAUGCAUAGCUAGCCGUGCCCGGCCCGGCGGCAGCCCCGGCCCGCCCGGGUUAGUCACAGCCCCGAGCAGCCCUAGGGGCAAGGAGAAAGGGGAGGAAAAGUGGGGUUCGGGUGUCUCUCCCCCCCCCCCCGACCCCAACCCCGACCCUGCGCCCCGUACUCACACUGCAGAGGACCGGAGAUUCCCACCAUUCGCCACGGGCUGCGAGCUGCAAAUAAAAGUUCCCGUCCUGCUCGGGGGAGAGCCGGCAGCCCCGGCUGCUGGAGGGGCGAGGGGGUGGGAAAGGAGAGAGCAGCGCGGCGCGGCUUCCCUGCCCAGUCCAGAUGAUCCACGUCCACAAAAGUCAAAACGAGCUGAGGAGAAACUCCAGCUGCUCUUCCCCCCUCCUCUCUCUCUCGCUUUCUCUCUCUCUCUCUUUUUUUUUUUUUUUAAAGGAGGAUCAGCUCGAGAGAGAGCCUACUGGUUCCAAGGGAAAGCACGAGAACCAAAAAAUCAAGUCUCCAAGCCGCGAUAGCGAACGCCCGGGUCCUUCUCCUCCUCCUCCUCCGCAGCCAGCCGUGAUGUGGAGCGCAGGGAGCGGCCGCUGUCAGUGGCGGGGGCUCUGCUUGGCCCCGGGCAGCCGACGCAUAGCUCUGCCCCGGGCGGUGCCGAGCCGGUGCGGUGCGGUGCGGUGCCGAGCCGAGCCGAGCCGUGCCGUGCCGUGCCGUGCCGAGCUGCCCAAGGAUGCUCCGCGCCCGGCUCCCCCGCUAGCAGGCACCUCGCGAGGCAGGCAGCAUACUGCCGGCAGCCGGCCCGGCCCCGCUACCCAGGUCUCAUGCUCCAGAGGACUGCAGCGGGAAGGAGGCAGCUGCACAAUGAGCAUCAUUGUUAACGGAUACUUUCUUUGGAAAAUCCUUCAUGGUUUGGCCAGGGUACAGGCUAAAUCCUGCCUUUACCUUGUGCAUCAGGACAAGUGUUUGAUAAGAGGAGCAGAAAAUGUGCAGCAGCAGGAUAGAUCCACCCUUUAUUAUGCAAAGCAUGUCCACUAGGUGAUGUACAUGCUGCAAGAGCUGCCAUAUCACCUGCUUGUCUCCCUUCAUGCUAUUGUUUACCCUCUGCUUUUGGUCGUGAUGAAAAUGUAUUAAGUUCCUUCCAAAUCAAAAGAAAGAGGCUAUCUACUUUCAGGAGUUUGCAAGCCCCACGCUGAUGUAUAUUUUGAUGUCUUCUCCUUGUCUGAUGUGAUAGAUUUUAGCCUUGCUUCAUGUAUAUUUAUUUGGGGAAUUCCUUAAUUAAAUUCUAUGCUAAGGACAUUUUUUGCAUUCUUCUCUGCCUUUUGACAUUGUCAGAACUCCUAAAAACCCUUUACUGUCACACCAUACUGAAGUACUUUGCACAAGUAUAUAUGCACUGUGACAGAGAAAGAAAAGCUGGGUUAUUUUUGAAUGCAUAAGCAAAAGAUCACAUAAGCAAAAUUUAUAUAUUGAUGGUCAUUUGCAGGAAUGCCAGCUUUGUCACAACAGUCACUUAUUUUCAGGGAAAUAUGGCUUCUUAUUUAAAAAAAAAAAAAAGUCUUUUC